CUGGGCUACAGAGCAAGACUCUGUCUCAGAAAAAAAAAAAAAAAUCCCUAAUCCCAGUCAUUUCCCUGUGAUUAGGAUUAUGAAAUGAAAAGCUGCAACUGGAGUCAGGCAUGAAAACAGAUGCCUGGCAGAGUCAAGAGUUGAUGCAGAGUGAGCGGGCAGAGACAGUGAAGUCUGCAGUUAAAAUCCCUGGCCAGGGUCCUGGUCCCAUCCCAGUGGGCUUCCUGCCUGCCAGCCUGGGGGAGUGGCGUGGGCUGACCCCGACCAGACUGACCGGGCCUCAACAUCACCUGGGAAUCCUGGAAGGAAACAGGUUCCUGGGCCUUGCUCCAACCUAAGGAACCCGAAUCUGCAUAGGUGAGGCCUCAGAAUCAGCCUUCCCAGCAGCGCGGUGGGGAGUACAGGGGAGCCGCGGGAGGGUUUUGGGAGGGGGGAAGCAGCUACAUGGUAGACCCUGCACGCGCCCUCGCUCCUCUGCUGGAGGAAGUGAUGAGGGCAGGCCUGGGGCUGGCAAUGGGAUCCUCAGCAGUUGCUGCUCAGAUCAGUUGCCUCCUUGGACCAUGUUCCCAUGAGCAAGACAGGAGCCACCAGGAAAUGCAGGUUUCCAUUUGGACAAGCUCCUUUAGGCUGGACAGUCGAGGGAUGGUAGAAGUGUGCCCCCACCCCAUUUCUGCCCCACUUUGCUCUAAUGGUGUGAGUUGGAAGGACCAUCUCCCUCACUUUUCCCUUCAUCCUGAGUGAAACCUGGUUUCCACAGCUCACAUGGCGCCGUAUUUCCAACGUUCAGAGCACAUUGGAAAGUUGGGAGGAAGGAUGAGGCUUGUGUUUUCACUCACAGUAAGUCAAAGGGGCUUCUUGGGAUGGUCCAUUUCCCUAGUUGUUCAGCAGAGGAAGGGGCUUUGUGAUCACUGUUUACAUUGUAUUUGUUUUCCUCCUAGAACUCCCUCCAGAAGAUGAUAAUGAAAGUGUCUGACGCAUAAGGAAAUAAAUAAGAUGGUUAUGUGCCCAGCUCAAGGGCUAAGGUGUUGGUCAAGACCACACCCGAGGGGCUGCCAGUCACAGGGUGGGGUCCAAGCUCCUCACCAGACCCAACCUCCCCUGCUCUGCAACCUCAUCCUUCCCCUGUCUUUCCUGGGUUAAAUUUUACACUUAGUAACACUGAAACCAGGCAGUUUCACACCUCCGAGCCUGCAUCUAUGCUCAUCUCUUUACCUGAAACGUCUUCUCUCACCCCUCCCCCUCUGUCUGGCUAAUUCCUGCUCAUUCUCCAAGACCCAGUUCUCCGUGGUACCCCUUCUCACCCAACACACACCCCUCAAUCUAGCCUUUUCUGUGAGCAACCUACACCACCUUAUGCUGACCUGGUUGGGAGCACAUAUAUAGAAAGUUUGUGUGCCUGCCCCUCCCCAACUCCCCAGUUCCUCAAAAGUAGGGUCUGUGGUGCUAAAUUUUGUCUCUGCAGUCUCUGACAUAUCUAGGAGCUCAACAUAUAUCUGCUAAAUCAAACAGAAUCCAGAUGAACAAGAAUGCCCUCGACAUGUAGAUGUCACAAUUCAACAGCAUUCUAAGGGUUUGCUCGUGCUCAUGGGUAUCUUUAGGACAGGUGGCUUUUAAGGCCUCAAUAUAGAUGUAACACCCUACUCCCCUCGCACAAAAAACAAAAAAACAAAAAAAACUUUAACCCAAA
rnacentral:lncRNA from 1 species